rnacentral:rRNA from 1 species
UAACACCAGCCCCCCGAGUGGUGGGGAUGCUUAUUUGGCCUAAAGCGUCCGUAGCUUGCUUUGUAAAUCUCUCGUUAAAUCCAGCGUCCUAAGCGUUGGGCUGCGAGAGAGACUGCAGAGCUAGAGGGUGGGAGAGGUCAGCGGUAUUUCUGGGGUAGGGGCGAAAUCCAUUGAUCCCAGGAGGACCACCAGUGGCGAAGGCUGCUGACUUGAACACGCCUGACAGUGAGGGACGAAAGCUGGGGUAGCGAAUCGGAUUAGAUACCCGAGUAGUCCCAGCCGUAAACGAUGCAGGCUAGGUGUUGGGUUGGCCACGUGCCGACUCAGUGCCACAGGGAAGCCAUUAAGCCUGCCGCCUGGGGAGUACGGCCGCAAGGCUG